rnacentral:sRNA from 1 species
UGUAGCUAGACAAUUAGGUUGUAAGCAGUGUUUUGCUACUGUGGGGUAGCAUGGGUAGAAUUGGUUUGAACUGUAGAAAGGGUUUCUGUGGUGAGAUGUUUCCCUUUAGAUAGGGUCCCUGAAAUGUACUUACCAGGUCAAGAGCUACAAACUUAAUCGGUAGUGCCAAUUAAAGGGAAAUGCCUGUCAGUUUCCCCACCACGGGCUGUGGCUGGGGACCCAUGAGUCCUCCUCUGACUUGGGUGCUCUCGGACCCUCAGGUCCCUGGUCCACACUCCAUCCAUGACGACCUCAGACCUUUCUACACACUCCACCACCUCGCUCAUCAGCAAUGAGGAGCAGUUUGAAGACUAUGGGGAGGGUGACGAUGUGGACUGUGCCCCCAGCAGCCCUUGCCCCGAUGAUGAGACCAGGACCAACGUCUACUCGGACCUGGGGUCUUCAGUGUCUUCCAGUGCGGGGCAGACGCCUAGGAAAAUGCGGCACGUGUACAACAGCGAAUUGCUAGAUGUUUACUGCUCUCAAUGCUGCAAGAAAAUCAACCUGCUCAAUGACUUGGAAGCCCGACUGAAAAACCUGAAGGCCAACAGCCCCAACCGAAAGAUCUCCAGCACGGCCUUUGGACGGUAAGGCCCGCCUCGAGGGAGGGCAAAUUGAGUGCUGUCCCCAUGCUGCCCACUGGCCGGGGCUCCCUGCCAGCAGCCCAGACUCAGCUGGUGCCCGCAUGUGGCUGAGUGAGCAGAGGGGAACGAGGCCAUCCCAGGGCAGUGCAGCCAGGGCAGCGUCACUUCUGAAAAAGAGGGGCCAGCUCCUCCCUGCUCUCUCCCCACCCCUUGUCCCUUCUUCAAAUCCUAGGUCACCUUGACUUCAGGCAGGCAUGCCAGGGAUGCCCUGAGAGAGACAGAGCACCCCACAGCGUUCAGUGCCCUUCCUGCCUCUUGGAGCUGGCAGCCAUACUCAAUAAAGAGACCCCAGGUUUCCUGCAGGCGGGGAUCUGGGCAUGAGUGUGCGCCAUUGGGGCUGGUCACUUUGCUCCAAUUAAGUCCUGCGGCAGUUCAGUGUGGCCCCAGGUCCACACUCAGGGCUCUGGGAGCUGGCAGCAAGGGCCCAGGAGCUAUGUGGGUUGGCCUCUUGGCAGAGACCCUGGCUGCUGCCUAUCAGGGAGCUGGAAGGGGAUGUCACUGGGGGUGGCAGCUGGAUUUUGCCUCAGGCACGGGUUAGCUCAGCAGGCCCAGUCCCACCCCAGCUCACUGCUCUGCAAGGCCUGGAGAAUUCUCUGCCUUUGCCAUCCCCCAGAGUUCCCAGAGACGUAGCAGGAGCCAGCUUGGUGGAGAGGCUCAAGCCUCAGGAGGCCCAGACCCUCUUCCAGGGCCAUGGAGCUGGGCUACCUCCUUGGGGGCUUCCCCACUGGAAGAGGAGGGGGCUCACGUGCCAGCUGAGGUCACUGGGUAGCUGCAGGCCAGCAUGCUGGCGUGAAGAGGGUUCUGAGGCCGCAGGAGAAGCUGUGCGUCAUUGGCUGUGUCUGCCAGGGGACCCCGGGGGUCUGUACAGCCCAUUUGCCAUCCUCUGGGCGGGGUGAUCCGCUGAGUUUGGCAACAUUCUUCCUCUCAGGCUGAGUGAGGGCAGCCUCCUUAAAGGGGCAGACCCCCUGGGGUACUGGAUGCUCGCCUAGCCAGUAGUGUGAGUAGGCCCCUGUCUCUGGAAGGCCCCUGCAGCCAGACACCCUCCUCCCACCCCUGCAGGCAGCUCAUGCACAGCAGCAACUUCAGCAGCAGCAAUGGCAGCACCGAAGACCUGUUCCGGGACAGCAUUGACUCUUGCGACAAUGACAUCACAGAGAAGGUGGGCCUUGGGUGGCUGGAGAAGGGACUGAAUGCAUGCCUGCUCCCAGGGGAGAUGGGGUGCACUCAGGCUACUGUCUGGGGACUUGGGAGACCCUGUACCUGCCUAGGAAUUGGGGGCAGGUGGCCCUGGUCACGUGUUCCCCACCCCCCCACCCCACACAUGACCGUUCUCGGAUACACAGUGGUUUGGAGGUCCUGCUCAUGAACCUCAUGGCGUCGAGGUUCUCGGUUCUGUGGCCUCAGAGGUCUUCUCCACCCCACCCCGGCCCCCUGCUGCAGGUAAGCUUCCUGGAAAAGAAGGUGACAGAGCUGGAGAAUGACAGCCUGACCAAUGGGGACCUGAAGAGCAAGCUGAAGCAAGAGAACACACAGCUGGUGCACAGGUCAAGCAGGCAGCGGCGCUGGGGGCUCAGCCGUGACGCUGGGGAACAAAGCGGGGGUCCAUCUUGCUAAGACCUCCGGGAGGAGGCAGCCUCAUGCCUUUGCAGCUCUGAGGGUCUGUGACGCAUCAGCCUCUUGUCACAUGGCCCUGCCCACAUGUGGUGCCCAGGACAGGACCUUAGGGACAGGGAGACAGGUUGGAGCUUGACCUUGGCUCUAGGCCCAAUGGAUUCUACCCCCUGAGGUCUGAAGCCACAGGGCUGGUCCAGGAUGGGAGUGGGGAUCCACUGUGUCUCACUCAUACAGUGACAGGAGCCUGACGUCCCUUCCUAGGGACAAGCUCUGCAGGGGACAGGCCAGUGUGAGCUGGGCGGUGGGAAGGGUCCAGCACUGCUGCUGAUGGAGGUCCCCUGAGCCUGCCGUUCCUGAUGCUGUCUGCAGUGGUGGAUUCAGGGUUUAGUUGUCCUCACCAGAUGGCAUGACCCUUGGGGGACAUACCCUGGCCAGGGGUCCGGUCCUCCAACUUGUCACAGGGCCCAAAGAUGGGCCCUUUUGUAUACCCCAGAAGGUCAGCCUGGUGGAGGGGCUGUUGCCAGUGAGACGUAUCCCAGACCGAAAUACCAACCAGGCUGUCACUGGGGUGCUCACAUCUACGUGCCCCUGGCCCUGUCCCAGGUCUGGGGCAGACUUCAGGCCACCAGCCAGGAUGUGCCUAUUUUGGGAGUCAAGGUGCCCAAUAAGCUGAAUUAUUAAUCAGAGGGGUGGCCGGGAAGGAACAGCACAAAAACAAGAGGUGAGGCCUGAGGUGGUUCCGGCCAGGUGUGGCUGCAGGGACUGGUGGGGGCGGUCCCUCCCUGUGCUGCCCUGAGCGCCCCACCUUCUGACUGCCAGGCCUGCCCCUCCAUGGCAUGUGUGACCGACACCCCCUCUAGAUGUGCGGUGUCCCUGUUCAUCUCUCUGAAAGCUACUGGCCCACACGCCCUCAGUGGGCAUGCCAGUGACUCAGGGUCUCGGGGCCCAGGGUCCCCCGUGCCACAGCCUGGGUUGGGGUGAAAUGGUGCAGGCCCCAAGAGCUUGCCCGUUGCGCUGUCCUCAGGGUGCAUGAGCUGGAGGAGAUGGUGAAGGAUCAGGAGACCACGGCCGAGCAGGCUCUGGAGGAGGAGGCGCGGCGCCACCGCGAGGCCUACGGCAAGCUGGAGAGGGAGAAGGCUACCGAGGUGGAGCUGCUCAAUGCCAGGUGGGCCCCUCCACCGAGCCCCCUCCCUCAGAGGGACCCCCUGUCCUGGGGCAGCCCUGUGGGAUAGGCGCUAUCCCCAUUUUAUAGAUGGGGGAAUGUGAGGCUGAGGGGCAGCCUCUUGAGACUUCCCAGUAGUAACAGUUCCACUUUAAUACCACGAGAAACACAGAGGCAUGCUCUUCAGGAAGUUCGCUAAGGAAUGUUCCCAGGAGCGUGGCUCACAUUUGGUAAUGCAAACCACACAAAUGUCUGUCAGAGAAAAGGGCCUGGGCUGGGUCUUACAUCCAGGCCUGGAGCGCCCCCUGCUGUCAGGUUCUCCCCUGACCCCUGGUGGACUGAGCCAGAGCCCCAGGGCCAAGGUAAAUGGAAAACCCGGUUCCUGUGCCUUGCGUGUACCUGUGACUUCGUCAUUGGAACGUGAGGCAGGCGGGACAAGGAGCAGCCCCGGGCCAGGGAUCUGAGUUGGUCUCCCAUUAGCUCCAUGGCCUUGGACGUACUGGGUCACCUCCCUGUGUGCCCCACAGAGCGGCUGUGUGGGUGGGUGAGCCGAUGUAAGUCCAGACCCUGCCCACGGGUGAGGGCUAUGAUGAUGCCUCUGUGAUGAAGCCCCUUUGCGGCCCUUGACCGAGGCCGAGGAGGCCGCCUGGGCUUCUGGCAGAGAGGACAGCUGCCCUGGCACUCCUCAGGCCCCCUGAGGCCCCAGUCUCCAUGCUGAGGCUUCCCAGAGUUGCCGAGCCCCACCUGGCGGCUGGUGGGCUGCUGAGCAAAUGACUGGGAGUUGGGCUCUCAGGCAGGUACCUCCCUGCCCCAGUGUCCCUGCCCCUGUGCAGUUUGGUGAGGAGACUUCCCAACUCCCCGGUGUCUGAGACCUGCUUUGCUAAGUUACCCACCAGGGGUUCAUUUUACAUUUUGACUCUAUUCUAGAAGCUGCUGUUUUGCAUCUGUUUCUGGAGGCUGGUGCCUAGUUAAGGGUGACUGCUCUCACUCAGCCCGCCUCGGCAGCUGGCCCAAGAGAGGUGGCUGGGACACGGGAGGUGGUAAAAGACAGUGUGAACCUGGGCCACAGGACAAAGUGCAGAAAGCCAGCCCUCGGGAACUGUCUCCUAACGUGUGCCCGUCACACAGCUCCGGGGGCGCCAUUCGUGUAAAAUAUCCGAGUGGUGUUCCCAGAGUCCUGCCGUAUGCUUGGUUCCCUACCACUUCCACCCGCUUGGGGCCACCUGCUGGUGGUGGGGCUGAAUUCCUCUCUGGAGCCCAGAGGGCAGUGGAGGCCCAGAAGCCAUCCUUCCAGGAAAGAGGACGUGAUGGGGAGGUGGUGGGUCGAGAACGGGAUGCUCUGCAGGAGUCACUGCCAGAAGUGACCCUGUUCAGUUCUGCUGCCACCGACGGCCCAACUCACCUGCACCUAUUCUCAGACCAUUUAAAACCGACCUGAGGCCGGGCACAGUGGCUCACGCCUAUAAUCCCAGCACUUUCGGAGGCCGAGGCAGGUGGAUCACGAGGUCAGGAAACGGAGACCAUCCUGGCCAACAUGGUGAAACCCCAUCUCUACUAAAAAUACAAAAAUUAGCCAGGCGUGGUGGUGCGCGCCUGUAGUCCCAGCUGCUCGGGAGGUUGAGGCAGGAGAAUCGCUUGAACCCGGGAGGCAGAGGUUGCAGUGAGCUGAGGUCACACCACUGAGACUCCGUCUCAAAACAGACAAACAAACAAAAAACUGACCUGAACACCCAGGCUCUGUCUUCUUGUGGAAUCCCUUUAGGAUUCCCUUUAUGGAAUUCCUGUGUGAACGCUAACACAGAGGAUUAUUACUGUCAGAGCCCGUGCCUGUGGUCAUCAGAGGGAGGUGCAGUGAGCGCUCAGAGAAGAGCCCUGGAUGAGAUGCUGUUGGCGGAGAAUGAAAAGCCAAUAUGAUCAUUGCCUUCAAAUUACAGAGUCUAACAGGAGGGCCCAGUCACAGAAGCCACAAGAAGACUGUUUCUCCAUCUAGCAGAAAGACAUCCCCGUGUUGUCUGAGGAUCUGAAGGAUGCACACAAGAAGAAUCUGCGUUCCUACUCUCUAAUGAAUGUUUCCACUUAUUGGAAAAAUAAAGGCCACGUGUGGUGGCUCACUCUUGUAAUCCCAACACUUUGGGAGGCCAAGGUGGGCAGAUCACAUGAGGCCAGUUUUUGAGACCAGCCUGGCCAACAUGGCAAAACCCGUCUCUACUAAAAAUACACAAAUUAGCUAGGUGUGGUGGUGCAUGCCUCUAAUCCCAGCUAUUCAGGAGGCUGAGGCACGAGAAUUGCUGAAGGAGGCAGAGGUUGCAGAGCUGAGAUUGUGCCACCUCACUCCAGCCUGGGCAACAGAGUAGGACUCUGUCUC